AAAAGAGGUGGUUAGGUUAGCUACUGUCAUUGCUGAACAGUAUAUUGUACCCUAUUGACACUGUAGAAUUGGCAAGGAUGUAAGGUAAUACUUCAGAUUACUUCUUGAUAUACAGUACUAUUUAUAAACUCAGCAAAAAAAGAAAACGUUCAUUUUUCAGGACCCUGUCUUUCAAAGAUAAUUCGUAAAAACCCAAAUAACUUCACAGAUCUUCAUUGUAAAGGGUUUAAACACUGUUUCCCAUGCUUGUUCAAUGAACCAUAAACAAUUAAUGAACAUGCACUUGUGGAACAGUCGUUAAGACACUAACAGCUUACAGACAGUAGGCAAUUAAGGUCACAGUUAUGAAAACUUAGGACACUAAAGAGGCCUUUCUACUGACUCUGAAAAACACCAAAAGUAAGAUGCCAAGUGUCCCUGCUCAUCUGCGUGAACGUACCUUAGGCAUGCUGCAAGGAGGCAUGAGGACUGCAGAUGUGGCCAGGGAAAUAAAUUGCAAUGUACGUACUGUGAGAUGCCUAAGACAGUGCUACAGGGAGACAGGACAGACAGCUGAUCGUCCUCGCAGUGGCAGACCAUGCGCAACAACACCUGCACAGGAUCGGUACAUCCGAACAUCACACCUGUGGGACAGGUACAGGAUGGCAACAACAACUGCCCGAGUUACACCAAGAACGUAGGCCUGUUGUUAGGCAGGUCCUCACCAGACAUCACCGGCAACAACGUUGCCUAUGGGCACUAACCCACCGUCGCUGGACCAGACGGGACUGGCAAAAAGUGCUCUUCACUGACGAGUCGCGGAGUUGUCUCACCAUGGGUAAUGGUUGGAUUUGCGUUUAUUGUCGAAGGAAUGAGAGUUACACACUUGCAGGUGCCUUGGUGGAAGAGUGGGGUAAUAUCUCACAGCAAGAACGGGCAAAUCUGGUGCAGUCCAUGAGGAGAUGCACUGCAGUACUUAAUGCAGCUGGUGGCCACACCGGAUACUGACUGUUACUUUUGAUUUUGACCCCCCCCCCCCUUUGUUCAGGGACACAUUAUUCAAUUUCUGUUCAUCAGAUGUCUGUGGAACUUGUUCAGUUUAUGUCUCAGUUGUUGAAUCUUGUUAUGUUCAUAGAAAUAUUUACACAUGUUCAGUUUGCUGAAAAUAAACGCAGUUGACAAUGAGAGGACAUUCCUUUUUCUGCUGAGUUUAGAUCGAUAUGUUCCAUGCAUCACAUUGUUUUAAUUGAAUAAAUAAUAAGAAUAGUAGUAAGUCAUGAAUCUGGUUAGAAUAUGAUAUUCUGUCUUUGUGCAAGACAGAUAAGUAAUCAGGGGAAUUACUACAUACUAUCCAAAAACUGACCAAGACCCAAUUCUGGCUAAAGGGCAUUUUCACUGCUGCUCCAUUUCACUCUAUAUGUUCAUUAAUGUUAUUUACAUAGCAUGUCAUAAAAAUUGAGAAUUGAGCGUUUCUGCAUUUCACCGGUUAAAAUGGGCCAUCGAAAUUUCUUGGUUGUAAGCGAACCACAAUAUCCACAAUUCAUUGUGAUUUCAAGACGUAGUAGAGGUGGAUACUCUCCUUGAGAAAUAUCUCAACUUCAGUGUUUGGAGCCAGCACUUUCAGCCCGAGGAUUUCGAACAGACCUGAAGUCUCAACUGAUGGGGUUGCCAGGUGUCACCCCCCUCUCCUCCCCACCAAUCCAAGCACCAUCAUUAUGCACACCUGGACUUCAUCACCUUGAUUACUCUACAUUUAUUUAGCCCUCUGGACACGUCGCAAAAAUACAUUUAGAAAUACAUGUUAUUCAAUUAUUGCACCCACACUGCUCACGGGCGCCAACAAGCAUCUGCUUUGCCAAGGGCUAGAAUAGAACUCGUUUAUAUUUCUGACCGCAGAUCACGCUGCAAGUCCUGCCUCUCCCAUCAGUUAUACCCAGAGGAAGGCAUCCGAUCAGUGCAGCAGAAAAGAAGUCGAGCUGAGAUGACUAAGUUAACCCUACUUUCAUGAGUCAACAGACAACAAUUCAGCCUCGCUGAAGUUUGUCCGGAGAAAUGCAGUGUACACAUUCAUUUGAGUAGCUUAUUGUGAAGGUAGGCUGAUGUCAUAGUAAAUAUCAUAACUCACACACACACAGAAAACAGACUGCAUUCUUACUCUCUCCCACAAAAUGCAAAUCAGGUCACAUUUCAUGAUUGUCUAACCCAGCUAAAAUCGCUCCACCACCUAGGUGAAGUGGAGUAGAGUCAGGAUAGGUGGAGUAGAGUCAGGAUAGGUGGAGUAGAGUCAGGAUAGGUGGAGUGGAGUAGAGUCAGGAUAGGUGGAGUGGAGUAGAGUCAGGAUAGGUGGAGUGGAGUCAGGACUACAACAAGGCUGGACAAUCAUGGGUGGCUUUGACCCGGGUGUUGAUGUACACAGUUUGUAGGAACGCAACAGUACUGCCUUGACUGUAUACAGAGAGAUGCCUGAUUCUUAGUUCUCUGGGCUAAACUGAGAACAGCAAACUGGUCAUGUAUGGACCGGAUCCAUGACGACCAUUCAACAAUCUACCCAUGAGUCGUACAGGACUGAGGACUCCCAGGCUGUGUGAUGCAGACAGAGGCUGAGCACGCAGCAAUAUUGUACUAUGGACAGAAAAACUGAAAUACAUCACAAUGGGUCCACGUUUUGUUUGGUUUAUCAAUCAAUGACUGUUCUGAUCAUGUUCAUAUAACCAAUUACAAGACGAGCAAACAAUGGAAUGGAAAAUAAAUGACAAUGUACAGAAAGCCCACAUUCAUUAGUUUACUCCUGCACUCAGCAUCCUAUCACACAUUGAGUACUGGGGGUUCCCAA